UAUAUAUAUAUAUAUAUAUAUAUAUAUAUAUAUAUACAUUGGAAGACUGUCCAGGUUGCCAGCUUGCCCGAUGGCAAGUGGGCCCCUGUGCCAUUAGAAUCCAUAUAUGGGGGCCCAGGUUAGUAUCUAAGGAGCCCAUCCCCUAAAGUUUGAUAAUUUUUUAUUCACUCCUGGAAGAAUGCAUUAAUUAUUUCAGCCUGGCUGUGUUUGUAGACAGUUGAAAAGAAUACUUUUAACAAAAAAAAAAAAAAUUAAAUGA